AGCUUCACAUUUGCACAAGUACUCGAAGACUCUCGAAGAGAGAAGUUUGUCUCAAAAAAUCGCUGUUUAAUCAAGCUAAAUUUAAGGUAAGAAUCUUUAGUCUUUUACUGUGAAUUUGCUUUAAGCUUUGUCAAUCGAAGGGCGACUUAUAUAUAUGUUUUUGAAACGCGACUAAAUUCAUGAACCGUUCGCUAAUAGAAUUCGUUCAAAUAUUUUUUCUGCAUGAGGAGUCGCCACGUGUAUUGUACGGCCUUUCAAAGUUUUGGCUAUUUCUUAACGUUUUCGAUAAAAUAUUGUAGCAUUAAACUUCAGAAUCCUUGUCUUUUGUCUUCCUAUAACUUAUAUUUCUUUUCUUCCAAUUUUAGGCCAGAAAGUUCCGCGAGAAAUUCGCUCAAGCCAUAGACUGGUCAUAAAGCCAUGUGGGGAUAUAUAACCAGGUAUAUAUAUGUAAUGUUUCUCUAUAAAUAUUUGUCCUAAAAUAGAAUUAACGCUUACUUUUAAGAAUUGUUAAGUAUCCUGGUAGAUUUAUAGUCAUCUUAUAACAGUCUAGUCUAAACUUUGGUCAACUUUUACUCACGAUAAUACCUAGAAUAAAAGCGGUUGGCUUUACUCAAACGGUUUGGUCGUACUUCAUCCGUACUGUACAGUUUGACCACAAUUUUGUACGAUAUUUUUGAGACUUCUUGGUCGAAAAUUCUGAAAUUAAUUUGCUAUUUCUUUGAGCUUAUGUUGCAAUUAGACUGAGAGUUUUGUUCUAAAUAGCUCGCCGUUCGCUUAUUAACAAUUCUGAAACGAAUUCUGUUUAAUUCUACUAAAUAUUAAUGCUGAAUUUUGCUGUAAAAUGCUUCCAUGCAUACAAGUGUACGCGUUCAAUUGUUCAUGUAUUUUUUAUUUUUCUUUCAGGUGCAAAAUGUAAUGAAGUGAAUUGACCCGCAAAAAGAAUGAUAACCCUUUCAACAUGCAUGAGUAAGUAGAAUUUAAUGCAUAUGUCAUGAUAGUUUCGCCUUAGUCGCAUUUGAGAACAAUUAUUCCAGCUUCAAAUUCGGGUACUCCGAAUUCCUGUCGUAACACCGACAGGCGUUAGGUAUUUAUGCAUGCCUUACGUUAUAAUUUUUUGUUCUGUACGUAUAACACGCGCUCAAAACCAAUUCUGAUUACAUUCAAAUUUUUAUUUUUCGACAUGUUUCUCAAUCGGCAAGCAAAUUUAGUGCUUUAUGUGUAAAAUAAUGCUAAAAUUAAGAUAUUUUAAAUGGUUCGCCAAUGAGAAAUGAUGUCUGAAGUUCAGUAUAAGACCCCAUUUGCACGGUACUGGCCGAAUUUGGAACCGGACUAGAAUUCGUCCGUUUCGGCCACACGAGAACCACGGAACCGGACGAAUUUGAGGCCCCCUAACAGGACGAAUUCGCGUGUAAACAGGCGAAAAAGGACGAAUUUCAGACCGGCCCCAAAUUCGUCCGGUACCGUGUAAGAGGGGUCUACGUUUUGCUCGUAUAUUGCUGUAGACAUGGCGUCACUUUUAAAGCAUCAUUGCUAAUUGUAUUUCAUUUUACUUUUCAGGUUGGAAGGAGGAAACCCGCGCUUAGGCGGACAAGAACUUUUUUACCUGCACAUUUUUAUUUCUGCCCGAUUUUUUUCAUACUCGGUCGUCGUCAGGACGCAAGACUUCAGAGACAAGGAGACGAGAAGAGCCCAGCUCGUCUGCCUUCAUUUCAAAACUCGCACAUCCAAAACUUAAGUGUAUUCAUGAAAACAUGCUUAGGCCUCUCUUAGGACUAGUUUAGGAUAUGGCAAACGAGCGUGAUGAACUUGUCAGAUUGAGUUAGUUAGGACUCAAUGCGUGAGAUAAACGCUUAGCUAGUCCCCUCAGUAUCUACCCCAAAACAUGAUCGCACAUUUUAUGUUUGUUCAUUGCUCAAUGUGGAGCACUAUAAUGGAAAAGAAGAAGAUUAAUGGUGGACGAAGAUUCACAAGGUAUUGUUUUGUGUUCUAAUCAUCUAAAUAUUUUCAUUUAUCAUUCAGGGUUUAUAGUUUAUAGUAGUUUUAUAGUUAAGUCUUGCCAACACAACUGCUAUAUACUUAUUUAUGUUUUAUUUUGUUGUUUUAGAAAACGGAAGCCUUUAUGAUGGGAUGUCUCUUAAUUACGAAUGCGAAUGCAAGUUGGCGUAAGCUGAUGAGAUUGAUGGCUCGAGCAUUUUCCCAGAGCUUCAUGCAGUAAUGAAAUAGGUUUGCACCGCGGGUACUCCAGUUUUUAGUCGACAUCACAGAGUGUCUCUGGGUACUCCAGAUUUAAACAAACACCACAGAUAUGAUUGACUCUGGGUAAUCCAGAUUUAAAUGAACACUACAAAUUUACACAGAGUAGCCCGAAUUUAGUUUAGCAUCGCAGAUUGUUUCUGGGUACUCCAGAUUGAAACAAACACCACAGAUUUUCGCCGGGUACUCCGGAUUAAUCAAACACUGCAAGGUUUUUCGAAUAUAGUCACCUAAGUGGUGACGUCAGCAGUGAUUUGAGGUAGUUAGACUUCAAUGAGGUAUGGAUGCUGAAAACAUUCAGGUAAAACGCUUGGACGAAGAACGAAAUGCCGAAUCCCGUGUACAAAUUCUCAGUGAUCUGAAGGUUGUGGUAGUGUAGGUCUGUGUGAGCAGUCCAGUGAUUUUCCAGCUCAGUUUCUACAACUAGAGCAUGCGCGGAACGGUUGAUAGCGAUGUUGAUUUCACGUGAUUUCCCGCGAGUUGUCCCUGCCCUCAGAUUUGAUGGAGAAGUACGUUGGAAAGGCGCCUUCCUAUAUGCGUGCUUUUUGUUCGAGUCUGGUGGAAGGGGCAUUUCAACUGGAAGCCUCGGGAAAUCGAUAUCGCUAUCAAUCGUUCUGCGCAUGCUCCAGUUGCAGAAACUGAGCUGGAAAAUCACUGGACUGCUCACACAGACCUACAACUACCAUAAACUUUAGGUCACUGAGAACUUGUAUGCAGGAUUAGACCUUCUGUUCUUCGUCCAAGCGUUCUGCUAGAAUGUUUUCACUAUCCAUUCUUUAAAGAGGUCUAACUGCUUUAAACCACUAAUGACGUUGUUGCUUAGAUGUCUGUAUUCGUACCCAGACUCGCUUGCUCACACACCCAUAAAUACUUAGCUGGCUUCUGGAGAAAAUCAACUUGAGUUGACAGCCUCGGUUUCUUCGGAAACUUUGCGUUUGCAUAAGAAAGAGUACCCAUGGCAAUCAAGUCUGAUGAUGACGUUCGACUCCAGACGACGUUGAGGCUACGAUGACGACGUCCUACCUUAGACGACGCUGAAACUACGAUGACGCGACGUGUAAAAUUACGGUUUGACGACUAACUCCCGGUAAAUCUUUGAAGGUGUAUAUAUGUUGCUAUGCCAGAACGCGUGCUCAGAAUCCUGUGUAAAGUAGUUCUAUUUAUUUUUUAUCAUAGUCUGGAUUCUGGGUACUAAUUAUCCUGGUGCUCUUAUUCCGGUAUAUUUGGGUUGGCUACGUUGCGAUGCAUGCGCGCUUAAACAUGGUUUAAAACUCGCGGGU